rfam:Ciona intestinalis ciona0585, whole genome shotgun sequence.
UAAACGGCUCUUUUCAGAGCCACCCAAAAUAACAAGAGAUUCUGA